rnacentral:misc_RNA from 1 species
GAUGAAGAACGUAGCGAAAUGCGAUAAGUAAUGUGAAUUGCAGAAUUCAGUGAAUCAUCGAAUCUUUGAACGCACAUUGCACCCUUUGGUAUUCCGAAGGGCAUGCCUGUUCGAGCGUCAUUUCACCACUCAAGCCUGGCUUGGUAUUGGGCGCCGCGGUCGAUCCGCGCGCCUCAAAGUCUCCGGCUGAGCUGUCCGUCUCUAAGCGUUGUGAUUUCAUUAAUCGCUUCGGAGUGCGGGCGGCCGCGGCCGUUAAAUCUUUCACAAGGUUGACCUCGGAUCAGGUAGGGAUACCCGCUGAACUUAAGCAUAUCAAUAAGCGGAGGA